rnacentral:lncRNA from 10 species
CUCUCGUUCAUUUCUAAGUAGGAGACCAGACCGAGACCCCAGAGAGAAGAUGCCUCUCCGGCGUGAUGGCCUGACGAUGGAUUCCCUUAUGCGGCAACUUGGGGAGUCUGCAGUGUGGCCGGUUUGGAAACUGGCAAGGAGAGCGAAGGCACCAUGCCAGUCUCCCACCCUUCCCUGCAUGUUUCUGGGUGCCCGCAGAGCUCCGGGAGCAAACAGUCAGCAUGACACAUCUCUGAACUGAUCAACAAAGUGAUGUAACUCUUGUCUACGCUCUGCCUACAGGGGCUUUGUGACAUAACUCUGCACUGAUCAGCCAGGUGAUGGGACUUUUGUCUACGCUCUGCCUAUGGGGGCAUUGUGACAUAUCUCUACGCAGAUCACCCAGGUGAUGUAACUCUUGUGUAGGAUCUGCCUAUGGGGGCAUUUUGACAUAUUUCUGCACUGAUCACCCAAGUGAUGGGACUCUUCUCUAGGCUCUGUGUAUGGGGGCUUUGUGACAUAUCUCUGCAUUGAUCACUCAGGUGAUGGGACGCUUGUCUAGGCUUUGUGAAUGGGGGCUUUGUGACAUAUGUCUGCACUGAUCACCGAGGUGAUGGAACGCUUGACUAGGCUCUGCCUACGGGGCAUAGUGACAUAUCACUGCAUUGAUCACCGAGGAGAUGUAACUCUUGUCUAGGCUCUGCCUAAAGUGGGCUUGUGACAUAUCUCUGCACUGAUCACCCAGGUGAUAUAACUCUUCUCUAGGAUCUGCCUACUGGGUGCUUUGUGACAUAUCCCUGCAAUGAUCACCCAGGUGAUAUACCACUUGUCAAGGCCCUGCCUACAGGGGCAUUGCGAUGUAUCUCUGCACUGAUCACCUAGGUCAUGUAAAUCUUUUCUAGGCUCUACCUAUAGUGGCAUUGUGACAUAUCUCUGCACUGAUCACCCAGGUGAUGUAACUCUUUUCUAGGAUCUGCCUACAGGGUGCUUUGUGACAUAUCCCUGCAAUGAUCACCCAGGUGAUGUACCACUUGUCAAGGCUCUGCCUACAGGGACAUUGCGAUGUAUCUCUGCACUGAUCACCGAGGUCAUGUAACUCUAGUCUAGGCUCUGCCUACUGUAGCAUAGUGACAUAUCUCUGCACUGAUCAUCCAAGUGAUGUAACCUUUCUCUAGGAUCUGCCUAAAGGGAAUUUGUGACAUAACUCUGCACUGAUCAUCCAGGUGAUGGGGCUUUUAUCUAGGCUCUGCCUAAGGGGGCAUUGUGACAUAUUUCUGCACUGAUCACCCAGGUGAAGGACUCUUGUCUUCGAUCGGCCUAUAGGGGCAUUGUGACAUAUUUCUGCACUGAUCACCCAGGUGAUGGGACUCUUGUCUAGGCUCUGUGUAUGGGGACUUUGUGACAUAUCUCUGCAGUAAUCACCCAGGUGAUGUAACGCUUGACUAGGCUCUGCCUACGGGGCAUAGUGACAUAUCACUGCAUUGAUCACUGAGGUGAUGUAACUCUUGUCCGACUCUGCGUAUAGGGGGCCUUGUGACAUAUCUCUGCACUGAUCAUCUAGGUGAUGUAACUCUUGCUUACACUCUGCCUGCAGGGGCAUUGUGAAAUAUCUCUGCACUGAUCACGCAGGUGAUUGGACUCUUCUGUAGGCUCCGCCUCCUGAGGGCAUUGUCACAUAUUUCUGCAAUGAUCACCCAGGUGACGAACGCUUGUCUUGGAUUUGCCUAUGGGGACAUUGUGACAUAUCUCUGCAAUGAUCAUCCAGGUGAUGUAACUCUGGUCUAAGCUCUGCCUAAAGGGGCCUUGUGACAGAUCUCUGCAGUGAUCACUCAGGUGAUGUAACUAUUGUCGAGGGUCUGCUUAAAGGGGCCUUGUCACAUAUCUCUGCCCUGAUCACCCAGAUGAUGUAACUCUUGUCUAGGCUCUGCUUACAGGGGGCAAUGUGACAUAUCUCUGCAGUGAUCACCUAAGUGAUGUAACAGUUGUGUAGGU